AGAACGAACGCUGGCGGCAUGCCUAAUACAUGCAAGUCGAACGAACACUUCGGUGUUAGUGGCGCACGGGUGCGUAACGCGUGGGAAUCUGCCCUUGGGUUCGGAAUAACAGGUGGAAACGACUGCUAAUACCGGAUGAUAUCGAAAGAUCAAAGAUUUAUCGCCCAGGGAUGAGCCCGCGUAGGAUUAGCUAGUUGGUGAGGUAAAGGCUCACCAAGGCGACGAUCCUUAGCUGGUCUGAGAGGAUGAUCAGCCACACUGGGACUGAGACACGGCCCAGACUCCUACGGGAGGCAGCAGUAGGGAAUAUUGGACAAUGGGCGCAAGCCUGAUCCAGCAACGCCGCGUGAGUGAUGAAGGCCUUAGGGUUGUAAAGCUCUUUACCCGAGAUGAUAAUGACAGUAUCGGAGAAUAAGCACCGGCUAACUACGUGCCAGCAGCCGCGGU
rnacentral:rRNA from 1 species